GACGAACGCUGGCGGCGUGCCUAAUACAUGCAAGUAGGACGCAGUUGCGAACGGGUGAUUAACGCCUUGGUAACUACCUAUUAGAGGGGGAUAACUAUUGGAAACGAUCGCUAAUACCGCAUACUAGUAGAUGGACCUGCGUUGUAUUAGCUAGUUGGUAGGGUAAUGGCUUACCUAGGCAACGAUACAUAGCCGACCUGAGAGGGUGAUCGGCCAAAACUGGACUGGGACACGGCCCAGACUCCUACGGGAGGCAGCAGUAGGGAAGCUUCGGCAAUGGGGGGAAGCCUGACCGAGCAACGCCGCGUGAGUGAAGAAGGUUUUCGGAUCGUAAAGCUCUGUUGUUAAGGAAGCGGUACUUAACCAGAAAGGGACGGCUAACUACGUGCCAGCAGCCGCGGUAAUAC
rnacentral:rRNA from 1 species